UUUGUGUACGACGACAUAAUGGUGUAAACACUUUGGGAGUGGACCAUAUUCAGUUAUAGGUUUCGCACGCCGCUACGAAAAAGGUCGUGUCGUCUCGAUUCAGUUCGUAUCUCUACUCGUUCAAACACAUUAAAUCAGAAGUUCGUAAAAGUGAAUUACGAUCUUUUUCGUCGGGACAGGCGAUACGAUAAGAAAAUGGAAAAAUUGAGAUA